GUGCUUAACACAUGCAAGUCGAGUGCGCGGUAGCAAUACUGGCGCACGGCGCACGGGUGCGUAACACGUGGGCAAUCUGCCCUCGAGUGGGGAAUAACCCGCCGAAAGGCGGGCUAAUACCGCAUGACAUUCCUCGGACUUCGGUCUGGGGAUUCAAAGUCCGCAAGGACGCUUGAGGAGGAGCCCGCGGCCGAUUAGCUAGUUGGCGGGGUAACGGCCCACCAAGGCGAUGAUCGGUAGCUGGUCUGAGAGGACGGCCGGCCACACUGGAACUGAGACACGGUCCAG
rnacentral:rRNA from 1 species